rnacentral:rRNA from 1 species
UACGUAGGGUGCAAGCGUUGUCCGGAAUUACUGGGCGUAAAGCGCGUGUAGGCUGCUCCGCAAGUCGGAUGUGAAAGCCCUGGGCUCAACCUAGGAAGUGCAUUCGAUACUGCGGAGCUGGAGUCCUGGAGAGGAAGGCGGAAUUCUCGGUGUAGAGGUGAAAUUCGUAGAUAUCGAGAGGAACACCGGUGGCGAAGGCGGCCGUCUGGACAGUGACUGACGCUGAGACGCGAAAGCGUGGGGAGCAAACAGG